rnacentral:tRNA from 1 species
GGGCGCUUGGUCUAGGGGUAUGAUUUUCGCUUCGCACCUCCGUCUGGAACGCGCUCUUCUGUGAAAGGUCGUGGGUUCAAUUCCCACAGUGUCCA